rnacentral:rRNA from 1 species
AAUAACAGCUAAGUGGAAAACGAAGUGGAAAGGCCGUGACAACCAGGAAGUUGGCUUAGAAGCAGCCAUCCUUCAAAGAAAGCGUAAUAGCUCACUGGUCGAGUCCUUCUGCGCGGAAGAUGUAACGGGGCUAAGCUGUUAACCGAAGCCGCGGAUGCACUGAUUAUUCAGUGCGUGGUAGGGGAGCGUUCUGUAAGUCUGCGAAGGCGGUUCGAGAGGACUGCUGGAGAUAUCAGAAGUGCGAAUGCUGACAUGAGUAACGUUAAAGCAGGUGAAAAGCCUGCUCGCCGUAAGCCCAAGGAUUCCUGCUCUACGUUCAUCGGAGCAGGGUGAGUCGGCUCCUAAGGUCAGGCCGAAAGGCGUAGCCGAUGGGAAUCAGGUUAAUAUUCCUGAACCUGCGUCAGAUGCGAUGGGGGGACGGAGCAUGAAAGAUCAUCCGGGUGUUGGAUGUCCCGGUUGACGAGCGUAGGAGGUCUGCAGGCAAAUCCGCAGACGCAUCUCCAAGGCGAAGUCACGUGCCGCCACGGCGGCGAAGUGAUCGGAAGUGCUUCCAAGAAAAGCCUCUAAGCACCAGUCUGACGCGGACCGUACCGCAAACCGACACUGGUGGGCGAGCUGAAUAUGCUCAGGCGCUUGAGAGAACUCGGGAGAAGGAACUCGGCAAAUUGACACCGUAACUUCGGAAGAAGGUGUGCCGUAGUACCGUGAGAGGAGAGACACCUUGAGCGGGAAUCGGUCUCAGAGAAUAGGUGGCUGCGACUGUUUAUUAAAAACACAGCACUCUGCAAAGUCGAAAGACGACGUAUAGGGUGUGAUGCCUGCCCGGUGCUGGAAGAUUAAUUGAUGGGGUGAGAGCCCUUGAUCGAAGUCCCAGUAAACGGCGGCCGUAACUAUAACGGUCCUAAGGUAGCGAAAUUCCUUGUCGGGUAAGUUCCGACCUGCACGAAUGGCAUAACGAUGGCCACACUGUCUCCUCCCGAGACUCAGUGAAGUUGAAAUGUUUGUGAUGAUGCAAUCUACCCGCGGCUAGACGGAAAGACCCCAUGAACCUUUACUGCAGCUUUGCAUUGAACUGUGAACCGAUUUGUGUAGGAUAGGUGGGAGGCAGAGAAGAGGCCACGCCAGUGGUCUUGGAGCCGACCUUGAAAUACCACCCUGAUUUGUUUGCGGUUCUAACCACGGACAGUGAUCCUGUCUUGGGACCGUGCAUGGUAGGCAGUUUGACUGGGGCGGUCUCCUCCUAAAGGGUAACGGAGGAGUACGAAGGUACGCUAGGUACGGUCGGAAAUCGUGCUGAUAGUGCAAUGGCAAAAGCGUGCUUGACUGCGAGAGCAACAACUCGAGCAGAUGCGAAAGCAGGUCAUAGUGAUCCGGUGGCUCUGAAUGGAAGGGCCAUCGCUCAACGGAUAAAAGGUACUCUGGGGAUAACAGGCUGAUACCGCCCAAGAGUUCAUAUCGACGGCGGUGUUUGGCACCUCGAUGUCGGCUCAUCUCAUCCUGGGGCUGUAGUCGGUCCCAAGGGUAUGGCUGUUCGCCAUUUAAAGAGGUACGUGAGCUGGGUUUAAAACGUCGUGAGACAGUUUGGUCCCUAUCUGCCGUGGGCGUUGGAAGAUUGACGGGGGCUGCUCCUAGUACGAGAGGACCGGAGUGGACGCACCUCUGGUGUACCGGUUGUCACGCCAGUGGCAUUGCCGGGUAGCUAAGUGCGGAAGAGAUAACCGCUGAAAGCAUCUAAGCGGGAAACUUGCCUGAAGAUGAGUCUUCCCGGAGGUAAAACCUCCCUCAAGAGUCGUCCGAGACCAGGACGUCGAUAGGUCAGGUGUGUAAGCGCUGUGAGGCGUUGAGCUAACUGAUACUAAUUGCUCGUGAGGCUUGAUCCU